GAAAUGCGAUAAGUAAUGUGAAUUGCAGAAUUCCGUGAGUCAUCGAAUCUUUGAACGCACAUUGCGCCCUCUGGCAUUCCGGGGGGCAUGCCUGUCCGAGCGUCAUUACGCACCCUCAAGCCCGGCUUGUGUGAUGGGCCCCGGCGUCUCGUUCGCGAGACGGGCCCGAAAGGCAGCGGCGGCGUCGACCCGAUGAGCCCGAGCGUAUGGGGACUUCUGUCACACGUUCGCGGUGCGGACCGGCGCCUGCUUUGACUUUUCUGAUUAUCCAGGUUGACCUCGGAUCAGGUAGGGAUACCCGCUGAACUUAAGC
rnacentral:misc_RNA from 1 species